rnacentral:rRNA from 1 species
AAUGAACGCUGGCGGCAGGCUUAACACAUGCAAGUCGAACGAUGAUUAUCUAGCUUGCUAGAUAUGAUUAGUGGCGGACGGGUGAGUAACAUUUAGGAAUCUGCCUAGUAGUGGGGGAUAGCUCGGGGAAACUCGAAUUAAUACCGCAUACGACCUACGGGUGAAAGGGGGCGCAAGCUCUUGCUAUUAGAUGAGCCUAAAUCAGAUUAGCUAGUUGGUGGGGUAAAGGCCCACCAAGGCGACGAUCUGUAACUGGUCUGAGAGGAUGAUCAGUCACACCGGAACUGAGACACGGUCCGGACUCCUACGGGAGGCAGCAGUGGGGAAUAUUGGACAAUGGGGGCAACCCUGAUCCAGCCAUGCCGCGUGUGUGAAGAAGGCCUUUUGGUUGUAAAGCACUUUAAGCAGGGAGGAGAGGCUAAUGGUUAAUACCCAUUAGAUUAGACGUUACCUGCAGAAUAAGCACCGGCUAACUCUGUGCCAGCAGCCGCGGUAAUACAGAGGGUGCGAGCGUUAAUCGGAAUUACUGGGCGUAAAGCGAGUGUAGGUGGCUCAUUAAGUCACAUGUGAAAUCCCCGGGCUUAACCUGGGAACUGCAUGUGAUACUGGGUGGUGCUAGAAUAUGUGAGAGGGAAGUAGAAUUCCAGGUGUAGCGGUGAAAUGCGUAGAGAUUUGGAGGAAUACCCGAUGGCGAAGGCAGCUUCCUGGCAUAAUAUUGACACUG